UUGAAAAAAAUGGUGUAGCAUUAUCUUUUUUGAGAACUUUAAUUUAAUUUUAUCCAAACUACCCUUGCACUCUGAUUAGAGGAAGGGUUAAACCCAAUUAGCUGAACAUUUUAUACCCUUGACAAAGACUUAUGUAUAAUUGCAUUAAAUGACCUAGAAAUACUACCAGUACCAGACAAUGUGAGGUAGCACAAAAAAAUACAAAAAUAUUGUUAUUUAGUUAAUCUCGUUUUCUUGACCUUAAAUAUAUUUACUUCAGAAUUUAUAAUGUCUUGGUUCGGCGCCAGACCUCCGAUGGGCAUGCCCAUGGGAAUGCCGAUGGGAAUGAUGCCGAUGUCGAUGGGAAUGAACAUGGGAGGACAUAGACCUAACGGGGGGCCUGGUCCCAGACCUCAAGUUCAGCAGAGUGCGCCCCCACGACCUAUCCCACCCAAACGGGAUAUACCUACUGGGCCCGCUGUGACCGUAUUUGUCGGGAAUAUAACAGAACGAGCUCCUGAUGCCAUGGUGCGUCAUCUCCUUACAACCUGUGGUCCUGUUCUUAGUUGGAAACGGGUUCAAGGAGCUACGGGAAAACUCCAGGCCUUUGGGUUCUGUGAGUUUAGUAAUCCCGAUGCCGGACUUCGAUCGAUCCGACUGCUCAACAGUUUCUCUAUAGCAGACAAAGCGCUGGUAGUGAAGGUGGACGCCAAGACUAAGCAGAUCCUGGAUGAUUACGUCACGGAUCGGGUAAAGAAGAACGGUGGAGAGUGUAAAGAUUUAGAGAAGUAUACGGACGCAGGGAUGGAGUAUGAUGAUAACUUGGCCAAGGAUCGGGUUGCGCAGAUUCUAAAGGAUCAUGCCAAGGAGAUAGAAUCCUAUAUUCCCAAGGAGGGAUCAACGUUACCUCUUCAACGGGAUCCUCCACCGACCUCCGCCCUGCUACAGAGGAUGGGAACCAGAGAUGAAGGAUUAGAUAAUGUUGAAGACGAGAAGAAAGGGAUAAUUACUCGGGAAAUAGAUAAAUUUAGAGAAACAAUGAAAAUCCGGGAAGCAGAGAGAGAGGAGCAAGGGAAGAAUAAAGAGAAGGAUAAAGAUCGGGACAAGGACAGAAAAUCGUCCCCUCCAGCCCGGAGAUCUAGAGAGAGAACAAAAGAAAGAUCGCGCUCCAGGGGCCGGGAGGCCAGAUCUCAAUCAACGAGGAUGAGCAGAAAAAGAAGUCCAUCUCCAGUACGGGAACGACCUCCCCGUGCCUCAAGGUCGAGGUCACGAGGACGAGAAUCCCGGGGUAGGGAAUCACGAGGGCGGGAAUCCCGAGGCCGAGAAACAAGGGACAGAUCACUUGAUAGGAAUAAGACACAGAAAGAAUUGCAAAAGGAGAGAGAAAUAGAAGCAGAAGAAAAGGAACGAAAGAAAGCUGAGAAAAGAGCGACGGAGAAGGAAGAAAACUACCAAGCCCGUCUUCUAGCAUGGGAGAAAAGAGAAUCUAAAAAAGCGAAAGAUUAUGAAAAGGAAAAAGCAAAAGAAAAGAAGAAAGCGGAAGAUAUGGAAAGAGAAGCAAAGAAGUUGAAAGAGUUUCUUGAAGAUUAUGAUGAUGAAAAAGAUGAUUCCAAAUAUUACAGAGGACGAGAGCUUGCUAGACGAAUGGCGGACAGGGAAAGAGAAGCAGCCAAGGAUGGAGAGGAUCGAAGAAAAGAAACUGAAGAGAUUGAAGAAAUAAAAAAACAAAUCUUCUCCAACCCUGCUCUCAAGGACCCCAACGCCGAGUUCCAGAAGAGGUUGAAGGAGAGAGAGAAACAAUUUAAGUCUACGAGUUCCAAGAAACCAGAGGAGGCCAGAGACAGGGAUAGAGAAAGCACAACCUCGCCGCAGAACAACUCCCCAAGUCCUGACCGAGGUCCAAGUCCCGUUGAGGAUUAUAAUUACGACAACGGGGAUAAUCGAGGGGACUCAAGUCCAACUGAGAACAUCCCUACUCCUCCCGAACCAACCAUCAAUCCUAUCACGCUACCUGGAACUAAACUUGAUCCCGCGAGUAAGCGACGCAAGAUGCAGGUUGCGGAUAUAUUUAACCAGGAUCAGGACGACGAUGAUGAUCAUAAACCUAAAAAGAAACUAAAAACCGUUCUGCCCAUCAUCACGACGGAAAAGAAGUCGGAGACCAAGACAGCGGACGACAAGAAGAAGCACAUCAAGUCAUUGAUCGAGAAGAUCCCGACGGACAAGACAGCGUUGUUUGAGUACACGGUGGACUGGGACCUGGUUGAUAAUCAGCUCAUGGAGAAGAGGAUUCGUCCCUGGGUUAAUAAAAAGAUAGCGGAGUAUAUCGGAGAACCUGAACCUACCCUCACGGACUUCAUCUGUUCCAAGGUGUUGGCCGGAAGCUCUCCGAAGGCCAUCCUCGAGGACGUGCAGACUGUCUUGGACGACGAAGCCGAGGUUUUCGUAGUGAAAAUGUGGAGACUUUUGAUUUACGAAAUUGAGAACAAAAAGCAGAAAGCCGAAGUGGCGAAGUAAUUUUUUGUUGUUAGUUUUUUUGCUGGACUUUGUGAAACCUUUAAAAAAUCAUGUUCAUUCAGUUCAAAGAAAUAUCUCUUGGAAUUAUUUCCGCUUUAACUAGUAAAAGCUACAUAUUUAGAACCUAAAUAUCUACUGCAGGUUCUCUGGGUACUGGGAUAGUACGGGAGAAGGACCUGGUUUCGAUUCUCUCCUACUCCUACCAUUCUGUGAGUACUGAGUAAGCUGUGAUGUUACUUAUUCCUUUCAUUUCUUCCUAAUCAAUCAUUAAAUCUACAUACAAAGUUUUAAUUUCACUACCGACAUGUUAAUAUGUCGAUUUUAGACUGAUUCAUAUUAUUAUCUCUGGAUGAUUGUUGUCUACUUGUUUAGGACGGAUUUAUCCUUGAACCCCUGCAUCAAGGGUUUGUUAGUUGUUUACCUUCAAACAAUGUGUUAUUGAUACAUGGGUAAUCAUUGAGUUUUCAAUCUUCUUAUGCUACAACCAGCCUUGGUAUGUACAGACGGAUCAUUGAGUAUACAUUAGUUUGUACAUAAAUUUGAUUCCUGUACACUCCUUGGUCCAUAUUUACCCCUGUAUUCUGCUGAAUCUUGUAUUAUGUGAUUCCAUGAUGUAAACUAUAUAUUUGCAGUUUGUAAGGUUUCCUAUGUUGACUGUUUCAGCAAAUGCUUGAAUAAAGUUUGGUUUCUCUCA
rnacentral:misc_RNA from 1 species